rnacentral:rRNA from 1 species
UACGAAGGGGGCUAGCGUUGCUCGGAAUGACUGGGCGUAAAGCGCGCGUAGGCGGCCCGAUAAGUCCGCUGUGAAAGUCGGGGGCUCAACCCUCGAAUGCCGGUGGAUACUGUCGGGCUAGAGUGCGGAAGAGGCGAGUGGAAUUCCUGGUGUAGCGGUGAAAUGCGCAGAUAUCAGGAGGAACACCGGUGGCGAAGGCGGGUCUCUGGGCCGAUGACUGACGCUGAGGAGCGAAAGCGUGGGGAGCGAAACAGG